GAGUUUGAUCCUGGCUCAGAUUGAACGCUGGCGGCAGGCCUAACACAUGCAAGUCGAACGGUAACAGGAAGAAGCUUGCUUCUUUGCUGACGAGUGGCGGACGGGUGAGUAAUGUCUGGGAAACUGCCUGAUGGAGGGGGAUAACUACUGGAAACGGUAGCUAAUACCGCAUAACGUCGCAAGACCAAAGAGGGGGACCUUCGGGCCUCUUGCCAUCGGAUGUGCCCAGAUGGGAUUAGCUAGUAGGUGGGGUAACGGCUCACCUAGGCGACGAUCCCUAGCUGGUCUGAGAGGAUGACCAGCCACACUGGAACUGAGACACGGUCCAGACUCCUACGGGAGGCAGCAGUGGGGAAUAUUGCACAAUGGGCGCAAGCCUGAUGCAGCCAUGCCGCGUGUAUGAAGAAGGCCUUCGGGUUGUAAAGUACUUUCAGCGGGGAGGAAGGGAGUAAAGUUAAUACCUUUGCUCAUUGACGUUACCCGCAGAAGAAGCACCGGCUAACUCCGUGCCAGCAGCCGCGGUAAUACGGAGGGUGCAAGCGUUAAUCGGAAUUACUGGGCGUAAAGCGCACGCAGGCGGUUUGUUAAGUCAGAUGUGAAAUCCCCGGGCUCAACCUGGGAACUGCAUCUGAUACUGGCAAGCUUGAGUCUCGUAGAGGGGGGUAGAAU
rnacentral:rRNA from 1 species